rnacentral:rRNA from 1 species
UACGUAGGGUGCAAGCGUUAAUCGGAAUUACUGGGCGUAAAGCGUGCGCAGGCGGUUGUGCAAGACAGAUGUGAAAUCCCCGGGCUCAACCUGGGAAUUGCAUUUGUGACUGUACGGCUAGAGUGUGUCAGAGGGGGGUAGAAUUCCACGUGUAGCAGUGAAAUGCGUAGAGAUGUGGAGGAAUACCGAUGGCGAAGGCAGCCCCCUGGGAUAACACUGACGCUGAAGCACGAAAGCGUGGGGAGCAAACAGG